UCCUUCUUAGCUCAGUUGGUAGAGCGCGUCACUAGUAUUGUGUUACAAGCAUGACGAGGUCAGUCGUUCAAGUCGGCUAGAAGGAA